GACAGAGGGGGCAAGCGUUGCUCGGAAUUACUGGGCGUAAAGGGCGCGUAGGCGGGAUGGCAAGUCGGUCGUGAAAUCCCUCGGCUCAACUGAUGAUCGUCGAUCGAUACUGCCGUUCUUGAGGAUUGCAGAGGAGACUGGAAUUCCCGGUGUAGCGGUGAAAUGUGUAGAGAUCGGGAGGAACACCGGUGGCGAAGGCGGGUCUCUGGGCAAUUCCUGACGCUGAGGCGCGAAAGCGUGGGGAGCAAACGGG
rnacentral:rRNA from 1 species